CCUACGGGAGGCAGCAGUCGAGAAUCAUUCACAAUUGGGGAAACCCUGAUGGUGCGACGCCGCGUGGGGGAAUGAAGGUCUUCGGAUUGUAAACCCCUGUCAUGUGGGAGCAAAUUAAAAAGAUAGUACCACAAGAGGAAGAGACGGCUAACUCUGUGCCAGCAGCCGCGGUAAGAAAGAGGUCUCAAGCGUUGUUCGGAAUCACGGGGCGUAAAGCGUGCGUAGGCUGUUUCGUAAGUCGUGUGUGAAAGGCGCGGGCUCAACCCGCGGACGGCACAUGAUACUGCGAGACUAGAGUAAUGGAGGGGGAACCGGAAUUCUCGGUGUAGCAGUGAAAUGCGUAGAUAUCGAGAGGAACACUCGUGGCGAAGGCGGGUUCCUGGACAUUAACUGACGCUGAGGCACGAAGGCCAGGGGAGCGAAAGGGAUUAGAUACCCCUGUAGUC
rnacentral:rRNA from 1 species